AUGAACGCUGGCGGCGUGCCUAAUACAUGCAAGUCGAGCGAACAGACGAGGAGCUUGCUCCUCUGACGUUAGCGGCGGACGGGUGAGUAACACGUGGAUAACCUACCUAUAAGACUGGGAUAACUUCGGGAAACCGGAGCUAAUUCCGGAUAAUAUAUUGAACCGCAUGGUUCAAUAGUGAAAGACGGUUUUGCUGUCACUUAUAGAUGGAUCCGCGCCGCAUUAGCUAGUUGGUAAGGUAACGGCUUACCAAGGCAACGAUGCGUAGCCGACCUGAGAGGGUGAUCGGCCACACUGGAACUGAGACACGGUCCAGACUCCUACGGGAGGCAGCAGUAGGGAAUCUUCCGCAAUGGGCGAAAGCCUGACGGAGCAACGCCGCGUGAGUGAUGAAGGUCUUCGGACCGUAAAACUCUGUUAUUAGGGAAGAACAAAUGUGUAAGUAACUAUGCACGUCUUGACGGUACCUAAUCAGAAAGCCACGGCUAACUACGUG
rnacentral:rRNA from 1 species